rnacentral:sRNA from 1 species
UUUUUCGCUGAGUUUCCAAUAUGGAAAACGGGGGAACCAAUUAAGAUGAUUGCUGCUGUAACUAGCCAUCAUCUGGGGGUGAAUCCUGAUACAGUUUCUGAUCAGUUAGGGCGACUCUUACCGCCCGAACCCGACAGCUAACCUCGUAAGCGUUGAUUAAGGGA